GGAGCGGGCCCGCUGGCCGAGGAAGGAGACGCCCCGGGGGCAGAGCACGGGAGGCGGGGAAGUGCGGGGAGACGCUGAACAGGUCAGGGGAGGGUGAGGACGCCUCCCUGCCCGCGGCUGACGGCCGAGCGCUUAUGACAGAACCCACUUAGAUUGAUCAGAUUUGAGCAUCCAUGGAAUCCUCUCAGCCUGCCAACAGGAGCAGUCUCCAUUCCCACCCAUAAUGCCUCCAUGGUGGCACAAGGGGUUAAGAUGCAACCUAUGACGCUAUCUGCAGCCGCUGCAGCACAAGUUCGAUCCCCAGCCAGGGAGCUAGCAACAUGGUGCAGCAGACCUCUCCUGUCUCCCUGCUGCUCCCCUCAGUAGUGUGCUUUGGUCAGUCUGCCUGUUCCGUUCCGCACUCUGUCUCUGGUACAUUCCUUCUAUCCUGAGAAUUCCAAGAAAGCAAGCCCACAGGAGAAGGACACACCACAAAAAGAAAAAGUCACCAGAGCUCAACAAUAACAUGGAAGAACUCGGCCUGUCAGACAGAGAAUUAAUGAUCAUAAUGAUUAAAAAGUAGAAAGAAAACAAAGGAAAAAAAUGAUUUGAGACAAAUAGUCAAUGAACUGAAGAAUGAAGUUGAGACCUUAGGAAAGGAAAUAAAAGAAAUGCAGGAGAUUAAAAGAUUACUAGAGAUAAAGAACUCUGGGAAAAGCAAUGAAAACAGAAUCAAUGAAAUGGAAGAACAGAUUAGUACUCUCGAAGAUACAGAAAUUAAAAGAGCCAAAAGAGAAAAGGAGAGAGAAGUGCAAUGGAAGAGGUAUGAGGAUCUCUCCCACAAUUAUCAGACUCCAUGAAGAGAGGAAAUUUAAGAGUUAUAGGCAUUCCACAAGGUGGGGAGUGAGACAAAGGAACUGAGAAAUUAUUCAAGGAGCUAACUGAAGAAAACUUCCCAAGGUGUUAACACAUGUUUUGGACGUGAUCUGUGAUGUGUUUUAUAAGUUGAGAAAUUUAGCAUAAUUUACUUUUGAAAUCAUUCUUUGUAGUGCAUGCAAGAACAUUUAAAUAACACUCAAGGAUGCACAGAGAUGAGUCAUUCUCCCUCACCCCCCAGCACCCCAAUCAGCCAAUAUCUUCUCAAAACUAGUUCACUUUAUCAUUUUUCUUCUCAAAAAAAAAAUCCAUGGGGCCUACCCUGGUGGCACAGUGGUUGAGCCCUGGGCUGCGAAGCUGCCCGCAGUCUCUAUAGUGCCGUUUCAAUCCCCAGCCGCCAGCAAGGGUUCCACAUGGAGCACAGACCUCUCUUGCAGUGCCCACUGCUCCCCCCUCAGCAGGGUAUUACAUCAGUCUGCCUGUUCUGUUCCCCGCUCUGGCUCUGGUGAAUUCUCUCACCCUCCCGUGCUUCUGACUGUACCCAGUGCUUGUAUAAAUAAAUAAAUAAAUAAAUCUUUAAAAAAAAAUAAUCCACACUUCUGUCUGGACAAUAGUGUUUGUUUUCCUGUCACUACUGGAGUUCAGGACACAAAGUGGGAGAAACAUUACACAUCAUGAAUCUGAUAAAGGACUGUAUCUCAAAUUUACAAAAUAGCCAUUAAAACUCAGUAUCAGAAAGAAAUGAACCCAAUUUUAAGAAAAGACAAAAACAGUGAAUUAAAUCAAUGGUACUUCAGUAAAAAUGUGGAUGAAAGCCUUAAUAGAGAUUUCACCAAGAAGAGAUACAGAUGACAAGGAAGAACAUGAACAGAUGCUCAGCAUCACAGGGCACGAGGGAAAGACAGUUAAGAACAACACUGACGCCAUCACACCAAGGAGGAGGCUUAUAACGCAAACCCUGUGCAAUACCAGGUGCUGCCCAGGAUGUGGACAAUAGGAGCCUCAUCGCUGCUGGCAGGAAUGCAAAAUGGUGCGGUCACUGUGGGAGAUCUUUGACAGUUUCUUUGAAAGCUGAAAAGACACUGACCAUAAACCCAGUGAUCACUGCCCUGCUAGUUACCCAACUAAUUUUAAACUUAUAUUUGCACAAAAACCCUGCAUGCAUGUUAAGUGUUUGUAGCAGAACACCAGUAAGUGUGAAGAAAACUGGGAAACUCUACCUUAGUCUGGUGUUGAAGGUUAACACUAUCUGUGAUCUGUCAUGUAGGCAUGAUUGAGUGUUGAUUGAUGUGCACUUGACGUAUUGAGUGGACAAUGGCCUGCACAUCUGUGGUCUGCUUUCCCAAACCACAGCCCCACUCAAAGAAAAAAGAAACCACUAAAUUGAGGGAGUAUAUUCCUGAGCAGUACUCCUUGAUAAAGGUUGAGAGUAGAAAAUUUAGGAUGGAGGGGUCACAAGACCAGAAAGUGGAGGUGGUAGUAGAAUUAUUAACCCUGCUAUAGAAAUGAAAAAUGCUUAGGGCCAACCGCUAUAGGGAGCACCAACUACUCUAGAAAGGACCCAGAGGCACAGACCAGAGGUGGGAUAUGGGGAUGGAGCCACUGCAGAGAAUCACCUGUCCUUACAAAUGAAACUUGUCACAAUAUACAAGUAAUUCAUUUAAUGAUAGAUAACAAUCCGACAAAAGAUGAGCCCCUCCCAACUAGAGCACUACCUCAGUGCCCUUUCUGCCCCUGAAAGACGCAGCUCUAGUCCCAAGGCUGCCACCUGGGGCCUGCAGGCUUCUCUUAACACACCCGCCCUCUCCAGGGGCAGCUCCUCCUGCCUGCUUGUGCCUGUGCAAGCAUCUUCUUGUUCACCCCCACUCCUUUUUUAAAAUAUAAACCUUCUCUUUGGCAGAGACUAAAGGUCUCUGUCUUGUAGGAUACUCACUGUGUAUGUGUAAGGGCGACUCUGGUGAAACUUCUCAGAGGUGACCCAAGAACCCCUAUCUGUUGUGGAACCAAGCAUAAGUAUUCUUAGCCAUUGCUUUGUGUAACUGCCAUUUUAGAAUUUUAGGUUUUGCUGGGAAAAGACUGCAUUCCAGAGAUAGUUUGGACCCUCACUCCACCCUUACUCUCUGGUCACCAAUGAGGGUGAACUUGCUGUAAUUGGAGCUGCAGGUUGGAGCUGCAUCUUGGCCUGGCCAGUCAGCUUAGAAUGAUAGCCAGCAAAGUUGGAGAACGCAUCCUUGUAGCCAAUGAGUAAUUGCCAGCAUAAUUUAACCUUAUUAAAAGACCCCUGCUUCCUUUGUUCGGGGCUCUCGGUAUCUGCCACUGCACUGCGUUGGUAGAUGCCGUGAACCCGGACUCGAGUCUGAAAUAAACACCCUUUUGUGUUUGUGUCAGCUGUCUUUGGGUUCUUGGAGGCUAUGCUCGCCGAGUCUGCUUAGUCUGCUGACCUUGGGCACAACAUCUGUGAACUCAGUACCUCUCCAAAACAUCACUCCUCACCAAUGUCAGUGUUAUAAAAACAAGGAAAGUCAGAGAAACUGUCAGCCAGAGGCACAUCAAGGAGACCCGGUUGGAACUGAAUGAGGAUCAUGGAACAUAAAAUGUACAUUAGGAAAAACUAAUGAAAUUAAGCAUGGAGUUUGGUGAUUGUGUCAACAUUGUUUCAUUAGCUGUAAAAAAAAUAUUGACAACUUUAGUCAUGUAAGAUGUUAACAAAGUGGAGAUGGUGUGGGAUGAACAAGAACUGUACUACCUUUGCAACUUUUCUGUAAAUUUAACUGUAUUCUUAAAAUGUUAUUUUUUUUUAAUGUCCUCAAUACUAUAUAGGUUGUAGAAGGAAAAAAUUAUCUACUUUCCUGUUU